UAUCAAUGUAAACCAAAGUCAAAUUAUUUCAAAGGCAGUGGCGGAUCCAAGGGGGGGGGGUUCCGGGGUGCGCACCCCCCCCCUUUAUUUUUGCCGAUCAAUGCAUUUGUAUCGGGACAUAUGUUUUGCACCCCCCCCUUGCCCUGGGUGCCCUGGGUUAGCACCCCCCCUUCGAAAAUUCCUGCAUCCGCCCCUGAAAGGGGACUGUAGAAUUUGUUGAUAUAAACAUGCAUAAAAUCAAAUGAACAAAUAACAUAUAGGCAAACGAUACCAAAAGGGUAUGUAAAUUCGUAAGUCUAAAAAUAAAAUAAAGUGACAAUGCCAAGGCAAAAAUACGAAAAACGACGAAAAAAAACAACAGUACACAAAACACAACAUAAAGGAAGUUGAAGAUUUAUAGCAACACGAAUCCCAC
rnacentral:lncRNA from 1 species